rnacentral:rRNA from 1 species
GACGAACGCUGGCGGCGUGCUUAACACAUGCAAGUCGAACGGAAAGGCCCUGCUUUUGCGGGGUGCUUGUGUGGCGAACGGGUGAGUAAAACGUGAGUAAACUGUCCUUGACUUUGGGAUAAAUUUAGGAAACUCGGGCUCAUAUAGGAUAGGAGAUUUUGCUGCAUGGUGGGGGUUGGAAAGAUUCGGUGGUUGGGGCUGGAAUCGCGGCUUAUCCGCUUGAUAGGGGGGUAGUGGCUUACCAAGGGUUUGACGGGUAGCCGGCCUGAGAGGGGGGACGGCGACAUGGGGACUGAGGGACGGACCAGUCGCCUACGUGAGGCAACGGGGGAGAAUAUGGCGCAAUGGGGGGAAGCGAGAGACGGCGAUGCCGGGUGCGGAAUGACGGCCUUCGAGUGAUAAACCGCUGUCGCCGGAGACGAAGCGAGAGUGACGGUAAUGGGUAAGAAAGCACCGGCUAACUACGUG